rnacentral:rRNA from 1 species
UACGUAGGCAGCGAGCGUUGUUCGGAGUUACUGGGCGUAAAGGGUAUGUAGGCGGUUGUUUAAGUUUGGUGUGAAAUCUCCCGGCUCAACUGGGAGGGUGCGCCGAAUACUGAAUGACUAGAGUGCGGGAGAGGUGAGUGGAAUUCCUGGUGUAGCGGUGAAAUGCGUAGAUAUCAGGGGGAACACCGGUGGUGUAGACGGCUCACUGGACCGUAACUGACGCUGAGACACGAAAGCGUGGGUAGCAAACAGG